GAGGGUAUAGCUCAGUGGUAGAGUGUGUGCUUGGCAUGCACAAGGUCCUGCGUUCAAUCCCCAGUACCUCCA
rnacentral:tRNA from 1 species